GGGGAUGUAGCUCAGUGGUAGAGCGUUCGCUUUGCAUGCGAAAGGUCCAGGGUUCGAUCCCCUGCAUCUCCA
rnacentral:tRNA from 1 species